rnacentral:lncRNA from 1 species
CUCACUUGAUAUAAAUGUGUCGUAUCCUCUACCCCCACCUCCUUUCGUCUCUCAGAACCCCAUCUCACACAGACCCUAAAUUCGGCCACCUCCUUUCGCCGCAAACCGCCGCUGAAAAUCGUCUCACGGCGGUGGCCGAUCUCCGAUGAACCCAAAAUUACACCAUGGAUGCUCAUUAACCUCUUUUCCCAUAACCAAGCUUAGUUUCAAUCGAAUCAAACCCAACCCUCUCAAAUCUUGAUUUAAAAAUCCGACCCAAAAACCGUAUUUUAUCCAAAUGGCCACAAAUUGAUACCUGAUUAUCCCCUGACCUCCCUGAUCUUGAAUCCAUAGUCGAAAUCCCUUGAAUAUCCCUGAAACUCGACGAAUUUCGGAUCUGAGGUUUUUUAUAUUGCGAUCUGUUUAGAAGUUUCAAGAAUAUGGAUGGCUUUCGAUUAAUGUUAUAUGUUUAUUUUGACAAAAAAUAAACCUAUAACUUUAAUCGAAACUCGAUUCGAAAAAAAUCAGUCAGUUGGGAAGAACAAAGUUCAGUGAGUCUUCUUCUCAUUUUAGUUUUGGUCUAAUUUGAUUCAUG